GGGAUUCGAACGGCAGGCGGGAAGUGCUCUAGCAGGGGAGUCUGACCUUGUGAGGGAAUACCUGUGUCCCCCCUUUUUUCCCCUUUUUACCCAAUAAAACCCUGCCUUACUCACCCUUUAAAUCAUCUGCGAGCCUGAAUUUUCAUGGCCGUGGGACGGACAAGAACUUUAUCUUCAGCUGAACUAAGAAAAAGUCCUGCAACAUUUUUGGCGCGCAAUGUGGGGGCACCAGAAGCGGGCACCGUUGAGCUGUUGCAACUGUUCUGCUGAUUUCUAUCAUGGAAAAUAUCCCUGCAAGCAGUAACCACUAUUUGAAUGGUGAAAUCAGCAGCACAGCAAACAUGGUUCUUAAUGAGGAGCCUUAUGUAUGUGGUUGAAACCACCUGUACUACUGGAAUGAAAGCACCUUUACAGAAGAGGCAAUGCAAGUUGUAUUCAUCACAUGUGUAGAAUGAAUUAAGAUUUAUGCCAGUUGCAAAGAAGAAUAUUGGCUCACUAUUUUUCCUCUGGGCAUGUGGAAAUGUAAAUCAGUCCAUGUUACUCACCUCGGAGAAGCAGAAGUACGAUUUACUAUUGUUGCUUGCUUACUUACUCUUAUCAAUUUCUAUGAGAGAGUUGUACUGCGACAUUAGCUCUUUUGACUAGAUGUGAUGACAGACUGUCUUUGGUCCAUUCUCUUUUAUUGCCUUGGAAGAGAAUAAAUGAGGAGUAGUUCUCACCCAUUGCAGCUGAGGCAUCACACCUGUAAUGGGAUUAACAAGAUGAUAAUAUAUCUUUUGCCAAGACCACAUACUAGCAGGGGUACAAGCAAUUUUCCAGUCUUGACCCUUUAUCUGUUGACCAAGCUAAGGCAGAAACCAGCUAAAUUCUGGAUUUAAUCUUGAGCAGCAAAAAAGAUCAGCUUUUGAAGUGGAUCUGCUUUUAUUCUUGGCAAAAGUUCAGCGGAGACCAACCAGAGUGGUGACAAAGUUCUUCAACAUCAAGCCAAAUGUAAUACAAGGAAUUACGGAUAGUGCUUAAUCUAAAAUAAAGAAAUUCCACAUCUCCCUAAAAAGUUAUUGGCUUCAAGAAUGAAAACAAAAGAAGCAUAUUUGUCUCAAUCCAAACACAGACACCAGAAAGACAAACCAGGAGUAUACAGCAAAGUAGCUUGCAGGAUAAUACAUUGAAAAAUGUAAUUGUGCAUAAAUCAUGCACAAAGUAGAAACCACAAAUUCUGUAUUUGGCAAGGCUUCGGUUCCUUUGCAUAAUUCUUUCAUUUUCAUCUUGCUGCUUCCAUUCUCUUUUCAUCAAAAAAAGCUACAUAAAACAAAGACAUAAACUGUAUGCAAUUAAAAUGAGAAAAUAGCUGAAAGGAAUGUAUUGAUAAUUAUGUUAAAAUCUAUACCAUAAGUAUUCUUGCAUUGUUAAGCAUCUAAUUUUUCAUGUGUUGACAUCAGCAUCUCAGUUCUCUCUAACAUCUGAAAGCUUUUUUUUUUAAGGCAACUUCUUUUAGAGUGAACAAACUUAUGUACCACCGAGUUGACAAAAGUAUAACUAUAUCCUACAGAAAGAGACCUCAAGUAAACCUCCAGCAGCCAUCUGGACUUCCAUGAAAACAGAACAAUCAGUGAGAUGCAGAGCUUGGAGGAGACAGUUUCCAUAGACUGAAGCACGUGCUGAAGCAAAGUUCACACUUGCAGGAUUAGAAGAGGUUGACCGAAAGAAGGAAGGACAUGGACAGCUAUGUUGUUGUGGAGUCCUGUUUUAUAGUCAUAACCUUGAGUCAAGUGAGUUUGUCUGGACAGACAGAGCUUGUUGCCUUUACUUAUAGGGAAGGCACCGGACACAGACAGCCUCAAGGACAUUUGUUCUAGCCUUUCAGUAUCCUUUCUCUUAAUUAUCUCACCUCAUCCAUGAAGCUGGUAUGUACGAUUUUUCCUUUCUUUCUCAAUCCUUUAAAAAAUUAAAGCUCUAAAUCUCAUUUCCACUUAGAUUUUAAUGUUGCAUUGUAACUUAAGAUAAAACCUUGCUCUGAUGUUAAAAAUACUAAAGUAAGAAGCAAUAUGGCAUAGUGCUUAUGAGCAGGACUACAUAGUUCUUUCUGAAUACAAAUCUCAGAUAAAACACUAUCUCAGUGAUCAACCAGGUUAAGCAACCUUUUUAGUGCCUCAAUUAUUCCAUUUGUAAAAUUGUAAUAAUGAUAGUACUAACCUAUAAGAUUGUGGUGAGGAUUAAGUCAGAUAAUACAAAAGAAGCAUUUAGAGUAUUUCCUGGCAUUAUCUACCAUUUAUUGAAUUUUUAUGGUUAAGAAGAAUAAGGAAAAGCAGAAGAAAAGGAAAAGAGAAAAAAUACAUAAGAAGAAGGAAGAGUGGUAAGCUCUAGUAAAUUACAACAAACGGUAACGUAGAAAACAUUUGUUAGCCCUUAAUAUAGGCCAGGCACUGUGUUCAAUGCUUAAACCUCAUUACUGUUCUUUGAAGUGGAUAACAUUAUUCCUUCCAUUUUAAAGAAAGGAAUACUAAAGACAACUUUGUCAAUAUUAUUCAUGUAAUAAAUGACAGAAUUUGACCAAGACAAUAGAGAAUGAACUCUUAAUCACUAUAUUGUUUUAUUUUUUGAAAAUAGAUUUUAAGUUCUUAUUAAAUGUUAAUGACUCACAUCAAAAUAAAGCCAAUCAAAAUUGACAGCAAU
rnacentral:lncRNA from 1 species